rnacentral:rRNA from 1 species
GACGAACGCUGGCGGCGUGCUUAACACAUGCAAGUCGAACGGAAAGGCCCUGCUUUUGUGGGGUGCUCGAGUGGCGAACGGGUGAGUAACACGUGAGUAACCUGCCCUUGACUUUGGGAUAACUUCAGGAAACUGGGGCUAAUACCGGAUAGGAGCUCCUGCUGCAUGUUGUGGGUUGGAAAGUUUCGGCUGUUGGGGAUGGACUCGCGGCUUAUCAGCUGGUUGGUGGGGUAGUGGCUUACCAAGGCUUUGACGGGUAGCCGGCCUGGGAGGGUGACCGGCCACAUUGGGACUGAGAUACGGACCAGAAUCCUACGGGAGGCAGCAGUGGGGAAUAUUGCACAAUGGGCGGAAGCCUGAUGCAGAAACGCCGCGUGCGGGAUGAUGGCCUUCGGGUUGUAAACCGCUUUCGAAUGUGACGAAGCGUGAGUGACGGUAAUGGGUAAAGAAGCACCGGCUAACUACGUG